AAUUUUUUCGUCUGUGCUCAUGAGGAAUAUUGAUCUAUUUUCUUGUAAUGUCUUCAUCUGGUUUUGGUAUCAGCAUAACGUUGAUCUCUUAAAAUGAGUUGGGAAAGAUUCUAUUCUCUUCAAUUUUCUGGAGAGAUUAGGUCAUAGUGGUAUUAUUUCUUUCUUAAAUAUUUGGUCGAAUUUACCAGCAAAGCCAUUUGGAAGGCCUUGAAUGCCAGGCUCAAGAGCUUCGACUUUGCUCAGAAACCUGAGAUAGUUUCUAUGGUAAAAAGAUGAUGUUUGCAAAGUGGGUUUUGGAGAGAUGAACCUGGCAGCCAUGGGCAGGAAAUAUGUUGGCAGCGAGGGCAAUAUAAACACCCAGGAAAACAUUAUAUUCUAAUUUCCAAAGUUCCUGCAGAAAAAGCUUUUGUUUAAUCUUUCACAGGCUGGAAGGAAUUUCCUACAUAGAAGGGAAAGUGACCCCAUUUGAUGAAAACUGUGAAUAGUCUGAAAGAUUUUUCUAUAUGGGGAGGCAAUGAGUGGGCUGCAACCAUUGUCACUGAAAAAUUAAUUCUGCUCCCUCAGGUUUCUAAUUCAGCUAAAUAAAUCCAACCUGGCUUGACACUUACUUUAUGAAGUGCCAAGACCAGAGUUAGACUGCAGCAUUUUUAAGUGACUAGAAUUUUUUAAAGACGAUUUUAGAUUUUCUUUUCUUUCUAGGUUUAAAGAGUCAUGAAAGAAAACUGGGGCCAGGCGUGGUGGCUCACGACUGUAAUCCCAGCACUUUGGGAGGCUGAGGCAGGUGGAUCACUAGGCCAGGAGUUCAAGACCAGCCUGACCAGUAUGGUGAAACCCCAUCUCUAAUAAAAAUACAAAAAAAUUAGCCAGAUGUGGUGGCAUGCACCUGUAGUCCCAGCUACUCAGGAGGCUGAGGCAGGAGAAUUGCUUGAACCCAGGAGACGGAGGUUGCAGUGAGCUGAGAUCGUGCCACUGACUCCAGCCUGGGCGACAGAGCAAGACUCCAUCUCAAAAAAAAACCAAAACAAAUCUGAAGGACCUAUUCAUAAUACAACUCUGUAAUAUUGCCACCUUCCUUCGAUACCAGAGAUUUGUCCUUUUGAAUAAACAUGGUCUCCUGUUCUGGGCAUGAUAUCCAACAUAUUUCAUUCCACACUGUUUAUUAUUUUUAUUAAACAAUAUUGAAAUUCGAUUUAUCAGAUUGCAAUGGCCAAUCUCAAUGAGUUUCACUUUAUUGCAUUGGCUCUCAGGGUAGGAUAGGCCAGGCCAGUGCCAACUUAAAAGUUUAGUAAGUUAAACUAAAAAUAAUAAUAUGAAACCAUCAUAUUUUAUAAGCCCUUUUCAGCUUAUGAAAAUAUUUCCCCAAAUAUAAGUUUUAUGAAAGCAUCUUUCAGCAUUUCCUUCUGAACUGCAACCCAAACAAUGCCUAAGCACAUUUCUAAUAUAAUAAAGUGUUGUUGGGAAAAAACACUGUUAGGGAAUGGCUUUCACUUGGCAUUAGUUUGAAUGACUUGGCAUUGUCACCAGGGGUGGUGGUAUUUUAAACACAGAACAUUCUGCACAGUGAUUUUCAUUGUAAAGUCUGUGAUGUCAAACCUCAAUAAAAUUUCUUUCUGGAAAUUGAACCUGCAAAAUGCACCCAUGGCAAAUGUCUUUUAUUCAAGUGCCUUAAAAACAAAACAAAACAAAAAAGCUCACAUUUGGAUCGUAUACAUCUGUCAUCCCGUCUGGUCCCCAUAACAACUGUGUGAAGCAACUAAGUCAAAUUUUAUCAUUCACUCAUUGUACGGAUGCAGAAAUGGAGGCAUGGAGAUGGAAGAUAAUUGACCACGA
rnacentral:lncRNA from 10 species